ACCAGGUGGAUGUUUUUCCCAUGGGAAGAUACAGCACAUGCCAUUACAGAAUCUGGCCACAGAGGAGGGUCCCACAUGACAAAAGUUUUUGAAAAUCAAGAAAUAACAUGUUUGCAGAAAAGCUGCCACACCAUACCAGCAUAAAAAUCACAGUAGGAUCUUACUGUUUCUUUUACCAUACCAGAACCCUCAUUUUGACAGGGAGAAGCCAAAAGUCAAGCAGGCAGAUCCCAGUCCUGAUGGAAACCCUCCUGAUAUUCCAUGGACCUGUCUCUGUACAGGUAAUUCCAGAUAUCAAAGCUGUGGCUACGUGUCUUUCUGGAUUUGUAUUCUCAACAUCCACCAUGUGCAGCUGGGUGUUGUCCAUCCAGCCAAAGGAUGAGCCUGUAGCUCCAGCAGAAACUUUUCCCCAUGGCACUACAGAAGGGAGCAGCUGUGCUGGACAUUUCUUGGCUUUUCCUCAGUGAAGAAGAGGCCAAAUCUUUCUUUUUAGUGUUUCCUCUAUCGCAUCUUUCUGAGGGCUGCUGGGGGUCAAAAGUUAUCUCCUCUGCCAAGAUGAGGUUUUUCACACAAACUAACUCUGAUGGUGUUAAUGUAGACCACGUUGGUCUGCAGAUCCUUCCAGCUCUGAGGGUUUCAGCAUGAAUCUCUCACACAUAAAUGGUCAUAAUUCAGUUAAAUUCCAUUACAAGGGGAGCAACUGGCUUUUCUACAUGCAUGGUUUUAUCUCACAGAGGCUUUAACGGAAAAAUAGAACAUUUUAAGUAACUGCUUUUAAUGUAAAUGUGCCUAUACAUCUGCCAGUUAGGAAGAUGGAGAAUUUGCCUCCAUUUCACAAGCAAUAAUCACACCCCUAACAGGCUGCUCCUGUCUCCAUCUCAUGGGCCUCCUCUCCCAGAGAUGCCAGCAGUGUUGUCAAACUCUGAAAGGGCUGAGAGAAUGUCAUGGAGACUGGAAAGCAGACUCCAUUAUUAUCCAUCACUCAUCACUGGUAGCUGCUGGGUGAUUGCAGGGCCAUGAAUUCUCCUCUGCAGGGACAGAAAGGCCUCAUUUGAAAAUAUAAAUGUUAUAUUGGUCUAGCUCAAAAGUCAUCCUGUUACAAUGAAUUAGCUGAUCAUCUGCAAAAAUUCCUGCUAAGCAAAUACAUAAAAUAGCCUGUUACCUGGGCACACAUAAUUACACCCAUUUUGGUACAAGCUGCCUCACCAAGAGGGUUUGCAAGUCAACAGUCUCUAUCACUGCCAGGCCCAGGAAUGGCUGGGUAUUCCAACCUGUGCACCACUUGCAAAAAAAUACAGUUUCAAUAUUUUUUAAGAGGAAAAUAUUCUCAAAUAAUGUAACGGUGAAAUGACCAAAGGAGGGUGACAUGUGUAUGAAUACAAGGGGGUGAUGUGCACUUGCUCAGCCUCUGAAAUUCCAUAUAUAUAUUUCUAACCUCUAAAGAAAAAAUAUUGGUAAAUAUGCCCAAAUGCAGCAGCAGUCACCAUUUAUGAGCCGUGAAACCACCAAGCCUCAUCCUCAACAGGGUUAAAUUGUCCUCAUUCCAUCAGAACCACGUGGCAAUGCUGCAUCCACUCACCUGGGUUUGGG